rnacentral:rRNA from 1 species
CCUACGGGAGGCUGCAGUGGGGAAUAUUGGACAAUGGGCGCAAGCCUGAUCCAGCAACGCCGCGUGGAGGACGAAGGUCUUCGGAUCGUAAACUCCUGUCAGGCGGGACGCGGUACUGCCAGAGGAAGCCCCGGCUAACUCCGUGCCAGCAGCCGCGGUAAUACGGAGGGGGCGAGCGUUAUUCGGAAUUAUUGGGCGUAAAGGGCGCGUAGGCGGCCCGGUAAGUCAAAGGUGAAAUCCCUCGGCUCAACUGAGGAACUGCCUUUGAAACUGUCGGGCUUGAGGCCGGGAGGGGGUAGCGGAAUUCCCAGUGUAGCGGUGAAAUGCGUAGAUAUUGGGAGGAACACCGGUGGCGAAGGCGGCUACCUGGACCGGUCUGACGCUGAUGCGCGAAAGCGUGGGUAGCAAACAGGAUUAGAUACCCUUGUAGUC